UUGGGAAUUUUGGACAAUGGGCGCAAGCCUGAUCCAGCCACGCCGCGUGAAUGAUGAAGGCCUUCGGGUCGUAAAGUUCUUUUAGUUGGGACAAAGGGAAACUUGAUGGUACCAACAGAAAAAGCACCGGCUAACUCCGUGCCAGCAGCCGCGGUAAUACGGAGGGUGCAAGCGUUGCUCGGAAUUAUUGGGCGUAAAGCGUAUGUAGGCGGUUCUCUAAGUCUGAUGUGAAAUCCCAGGGCUUAACCCUGGAACUGCAUUGGAUACUGGAGAGCUAGAGGAUGGUAGAGGAUGGUGGAAUUCCUGGUGUAGGGGUGAAAUCCGUAGAUAUCAGGAGGAACAUCAGUGGCGAAGGCGGCCAUCUGGACCAUGUCUGACGCUGAGAUACGAAAGCGUGGGG
rnacentral:rRNA from 1 species